CUGUUUGGUGCCCUGGUCGCGUGUCUUCCGAACUCUGCUGCUUCGCCCCGGCAAGAGCACUUCCUUCCGCGGCUGCUAAAACUGGUGCGCGGGUUCCCAACUUCGCAGAAGAGCUUCAUCGGCCCCCCGCUAGAGACCUCAGACCGCAGCCAUCGACGCCUCGCCUCGGGGAUCUGUCCCCACCCUCGGGGCCAGGUCAGGGACCAGAGACCUGCGAAGCCCUCUCCUUAGGGGUUUAGUUCCCAGGCUUUCUGACCCCAGUAAUUCCAAACGCUUCCCUUUGUUUCCACAGCCCUAGCGUAGCAGGUGCUCCCUGCAGUUUUUGCUUCUGAGAUAGAGUUCUCUUUUCAGCUCCUUCGGUAGUCACUUCGUACAUAGUGAUUCAUGAUGCGAAAUCCUCUCUGUUGAAAUAACUGACGAGGCCUCUGUCUUCUGACUGGACCCUGACUUCCAUGCCCUUUCCACUCUCACUCCAGUACAUGCCCAAACCCCAAUCUUUGUUGCUCCAGGCAUUGCCUCUGUGGCGCUGUGUCCCCUCCUUUGAACUCUGAUCCUUCUGCUCAGGCCCUUUCUCCCAGUCUGAAGUAAGGAGUGAAAAAAUGUGAAUUGUUCUACUCAUCUGGAAAAGAGAACCCUGAGGCAGGAACAAGUCGUUAAUUGCAUGUGCGUUUGUCCACAGCUCACCAUGAGUCAGGCCCUGUGCUAGGUGCUGGGAUGAAGCAGUGACUGACACAGGCCUGGACCUGUCCUUGGGAAGAGUGCGUCUGUGACACAGAUACUGUGCCAUGUGGCAAAACUUGAAUGGAGACAUCAGCUCUUUGUGGGUCUCAAGUCUACUGGCUUUCAAUCAGCUCUUCUGCUUGACAGCUGCAGGUCUUGGGACUGCCCAGCCCCCAUAACCCUGUGAGUGCAUUCCUGAUAAUAACCCUCUUUCUCUUGUCCUCCCCCACCCCACAUCAUUGGUUCUGUUUCUCUGGAGAACCAUAAUACAUCAUUUACUAAUCAGGAAAUAGAUUCAGAGACAUUAAUAACUCAUCCAACCUCACAGUUAACUGUAGAGUUGGGCUUGAAAUUCCAAGGUCGAUUUUCUUAGCCAAUACACCAUGCUACAUAUAUGUAUGUAAAAAUAAAAACGCUUGUGAACUG
rnacentral:lncRNA from 1 species